rnacentral:rRNA from 1 species
ACUUUACGAUGCGGGCAACCGUGAUAAGGGAACCUCGAGUGCCUGUAUAUGCAGGCUGUCCAGGUGCCUAAAACACACCUGAAGAAAGGGCCGGGCAAGACCGGUGCCAGCCGCCGCGGUAAUACCGGCGGCUCGAGUGGUGGCCACUUUUAUUGGGCUUAAAGCGUUCGUAGCUGGGUUGUUAAGUCUCUUGGGAAAUCCGGCGGCUCAACCGUCGGGCGUCUAAGGGAUACUGGCAGUCUUGGAACCGGGAGAGGUGAGAGGUACUCCAGGGGUAGGAGCGAAAUCCUGUAAUCCUUGGGGGACCACCUGUGGCGAAGGCGUCUCACUAGAACGGCUCCGACAGUGAGGGACGAAAGC